UUUAUUUUUAUUUUUCUUAGUUCUAGACUCUUGUCGAGACAAUGUUCUUGUCUCGGAGCUAUUUUGGGGUCAUUGUGCUCUUAACCUGUCUUUAUCAAAUUGCACUAUCUGAUCAUCAUUCAACAAUGGUCGCAAAAAGAGACGCCUCGUGUGGAGCAGGACUCACCUGUGGUCCCGACUGCCAGGCUCUUUGUGUUGCAAUGCACAAUUACUAUCGAAAACUGCACGAUGCACCUCCC